rnacentral:rRNA from 1 species
UUGUUGGUGAGGUAAUGGCUCACCAAGCCUUUUACCGGUGCGGGCCGUGGGAGCGGGAGCCCGGAGAUGGGUACUGAGACAAGGACCCAGGCCCUACGGGGCGCAGCAGUCGCGAAAACUUUGCAAUAAGCGCAAGCUUGACAGGGCUAUCCCGAGUGCCAUCCGCUGAGGAAGGCUCUUACCCAGUCUAGAACGCUGGGGGAAUAAGGAGAGGGCAAGUCUGGUGUCAGCCGCCGCGGUAAUACCAGCUCUCCGAGUGGUGUGGAUGUUUAUUGGGCCUAAAGCAUCCGUAGCUGGCUAAGUUAGUCCCCUGUUAAAUCCACCGAAUUAAUCGUUGGAUCGCGGGGGAUACUGCUUGGCUAGGGGACGAGAGAGGCAGACGGUAUUUUCGGGGUAGGGGUGAAAUCCUAUAAUCCCGGGAAGACCACCAGUGGCGAAGGCUGUCUGCUAGAACGCGCCCGACGGUGAGGGAUGAAAGCUGGGGGAGCGAACCGGAUUAGAUACCCGGGUAGUCCCAGCUGUAAACGAUGCAGACUAGGUGUUUGGACGGCCACGUGCCGUUCUAGUGCCGCAGGGAAGCUGUUAAGUCUGCCGCCUGGGGAGUACGAUCGCAAGAUUGAAACUUAA